rnacentral:rRNA from 1 species
GACGAACGCUGGCGGCGUGCUUAACACAUGCAAGUCGAACGGUGAAGGGGCCUGCUUUUGUGGGCCCUGGAUGAGUGGCGAACGGGUGAGUAACACGUGAGUAACCUGCCCCCUUCUUCUGGAUAACCGCAUGAAAGUGUGGCUAAUACGGGAUAUUCUGGGUCUGUCGCAUGAUGGGUCUGGGAAAGAUUGGGCCUUUGGGUGUUUUUGGUGGGGGAUGGGCUCGCGGCCUAUCAGCUUGUUGGGGGGGUGAUGGCCUACCAAGGCGGUGACGGGUAGCCGGCCUGAGAGGGUGGACGGUCACACUGGGACUGAGACACGGCCCAGACUCCUACGGGAGGCAGCAGUGGGGAAUAUUGCGCAAUGGGCGCAAGCCUGAUGCAGCGACGCCGCGUGAGGGAUGGAGGCCUUCGGGUUGUAAACCUCUUUCGCCAGUGAAGCAGGCCUGCUCCUUGUGGGUGGGUUGACGGUAGCUGGAUAAGAAGCGCCGGCUAACUACGUG